AACGUACGCUGGCGGCACGCCUAACACAUGCAAGUCGAACGAAGUAGCAAUACUUAGUGGCAGACGGGUGAGUAACAUGUAGGUAUCUGCCCUUUGGCCUGGAAUAACACGAGGAAACUUGUGCUAAUACCGGAUAAGUCUUUACGGAGAAAGCUUUAUGCACCAUUGGAUGAGCCUGCACUUGAUUAGUUUGUUGGUGGGGUAAUGGCCUACCAAGACUGUGAUCAAUAGCUGAUUUGAGAGGAUGAUCAGCCGCAUUGGGACUGAGACACGGCCCAAACUCCUACGGGAGGCAGCAGUGGGGAAUCUUGCACAAUGGAGGAAACUCUGAUGCAGCGAUGCCGCGUGAGUGAAGAAGGCCCUUGGGUUGUAAAGCUCUUUCGUCGGGGAAGAAAAUGACUGUACCCGAAUAAGAAGGUCCGGCUAACUUCGUGCCAGCAGCCGCGGUAAUACGAAGGGACCUAGCGUAGUUCGGAAUUACUGGGCUUAAAGAGUUCGUAGGUGGUUGAAAAAGUUAGUGGUGAAAUCCCAGAGCUUAACUCUGGAACUGCCAUUAAAACUUUUCAGCUAGAGUAUGAUAGAGGAAAGCAGAAUUUCUAGUGUAGAGGUGAAAUUCGUAGAUAUUAGAAAGAAUACCAAUUGCGAAGGCAGCUUUCUGGAUCAUUACUGACACUGAGGAACGAAAGCAUGGGUAGCGAAGAGGAUUAGAUACCCUCGUAGUCCAUGCCGUAAACGAUGUGUGUUAGACGUUGGAAAUUUAUUUUCAGUGUCGCAGCGAAAGCGAUAAACACACCGCCUGGGGAGUACGACCGCAAGGUUAAAACUCAAAUGAAUUGACGGGGACCCGCACAAGUAGUGGAGCAUGUGGUUUAAUUCGAAGAUACGCGCAGAACCUUACCAACACUUGACAUGUUCGUCGCGACUCUAAGAGAUUAGAGUUUUCGGUUCGGCCGGACGAAACACAGGUGCUGCAUGGCUGUCGUCAGCUCGUGUCGUGAGAUGUUGGGUUAAGUCCCGCAACGAGCGCAACCCUCACUUUUAGUUGCCAUCAUUAAGUUGGGCACUCUGAAAGAACUGCCAGUGAUAAGCUGGAGGAAGGUGGGGAUGACGUCAAGUCCUCAUGGCCCUUACGUGUUGGGCUACACACGUGCUACAAUGGUAUCUACAACAGGAAGCAAGACUGCGAAGUUAAGCAAAUCCCUAAAAGAUACCUCAGUUCGGAUUGCACUCUGCAACUCGAGUGCAUGAAGCUGGAAUUACUAGUAAUCGUGGAUCAGCGUGCCACGGUGAAUGCGUUCCCGGGUCU
rnacentral:rRNA from 1 species